rnacentral:misc_RNA from 1 species
ACCGAGUGAUGAUAGUGCGUGGGCUUAUAUGAAGUCAUACUAGUCAAUCACAUCUUUAACAUAAUGCUUUCUUUCACAAGAAAGUUAGCCUUCCAUCUAAUCAUCUUUCAAGUUUACUUCCCCCCAACAUUUUGCAAGUGUGAAUCUUUAUUGGACCAUUUAUGAUUAUAUUAUUCAGCAUAAGCAAAUGACAAGAGCUCUAUUAGAUGAAACUAUUGAAAGGAGAGAUGUUGGAGACUUGUAGGAUGAAAAGGGUUAUACAAGGAUAAAAUUUUUAUAUUAAAAAAAAAUGGGAUGAA